rnacentral:rRNA from 1 species
GACGAACGCUGGCGGCGUGCUUAACACAUGCAAGUCGAACGGAAAGGCCCUGCUUUUGUGGGGUGCUCGAGUGGCGAACGGGUGAGUAACACGUGAGUAACCUGCCCUUGACUUUGGGAUAACUUCAGGAAACUGGGGCUAAUACCGGAUAGGAGCUCCUGCUGCAUGGUGGGGUUGGAAAGUUUCGGCGUUUGGGGAUGGACUCGCGGCUUAUCAGCUUGUUGGUGGGGUAGUGGCUUACCAAGGCUUUGACGGGUAGCCGGCCUGAGAGGGUGACCGGCCACAUUGGGACUGAGAUACGGCCCAGACUCCUACGGGAGGCAGCAGUGGGGAAUAUUGCACAAUGGGCGGAAGCCUGAUGCAGCAACGCCGCGUGCGGGAUGACGGCCUUCGGGUUGUAAACCGCUUUCGCCUGUGACGAAGCGUGAGUGACGGUAAUGGGUAAAGAAGCACCGGCUAACUACGUG